rnacentral:lncRNA from 1 species
GCGACACUAAAUAAAAUAUCACUAAUGGCCAUUGGCCUUAUUACAUUAUUAUAGCAAAAGAAAAGACUCCUAACUAUUUGGUCCCAGUAGGACCUUCCUCAGAUUCGGUAUUCUUGCCUCCCUCAUACAGCUGCAUCACUCGUGCAUCCCUAACAAUAGGUAGGCUUGAGCCAAAUGUCUGUCUGCGCCUCCCUCAGGAUUCUGAUAGUCUUUGAUCCUUUGCAAGAACUUUCCUUCCAACUCUACCAGACCUUGCUCCAAAAAGGUUGUUGGCGUUCACAGCCAUAUUUCUCCACUCGUUGAUUAGCUUCUUGUGGGCUUCCUAUAUUUCCCGAUGUUCAUUUUCACAUUCCCUCAUUCUCUUACGCAGUUGAUUGUACUUGACCUGCACUUCAAUUUUCUAGUCAAUAAUUCUGUGACUAUGGAUGAACCCCGGAUGACCCAAACCAAUGUGAUCAUCUUCUAACCAACCUGUGUAGUGCGGCACACACCCGGCAUGAUACUUGUCUAGUUCAAUAGAAUCCUUCCCUAGAAAGAGCUUGCAGUGCCACAUAUGCUAAGUGUGACACCAGUGCGGG